rnacentral:lncRNA from 1 species
GACAUCUGUUAUCUCCUGUGUGGGAUGUAUGUGGGUCCGGAGCUCCGUCAUUAAACUACCUCUUGUAAUUACAUCAAGGCCUUUUCGUGAUUCUUUAGGUGCCUGCCAAAUCGGGAAUUGAGUGGGGGUUUCCCUGCUAGGUUCUAUCAUUUGGAGGUCCCACUGAGAUCUGCGUGACACCCAGGAACCCGGAAAGACCCCUUGGAGGCGACCCCUCCCUGAGAUGCUGGCAGUGAGUCUGUUCCAAGCUCCAGUGAGGGAGGCAUCCGCCCACUUGGGGCUUCUGUCCAAGGAGGGCAAUAUGAAUAAGUUGAAGCCUCCAAGGGGACAAAGGAGAAAGGUUCUUGUGUGACAGGAAGUCCUUGAACCAGUGUGGUGAGAGAAUGAAGAAAAGGUGACCAAAUGUGAGCAUACAAGGCCUCCCGGGUCUAUAGAGAGGCUGCUGUUAGUGUGGAAACGUGGUACAGCUGGAAUGAUGAUGGUUCGGCGGUAAAGAGCACUCGCUGUUCCUACAGAGGACCCGGCUUUCAUUUCCGGUGCCCACGUGGUACCACCCAAUUGUCUAUAACUCCAGUUCCAGGGGAUCUGAAGCCCUCUCUGGUCGGCUUUAUCAGUCACACACACGGAUUCCAGAAGAAAUCAGAAAUUGGUUGUUCUGACUCUCCCUGACACGGUUUGGAUCCAGAACCCAGCCGACUUCCUAAUAUACCGGUUUUUUGAAUAAAGAAACUUUUGUUGGCUCGAA